UCGAUGGGGGGACGCAGUAGGAUAGGCGAAGCGUGCGAUUGGAUUGCACGUCUAAGCAGUAAGGCUGAGUAUUAGGCAAAUCCGGUACUCGUUAAGGCUGAGCUGUGAUGGGGAGAAGACAUUGUGUCUUCGAGUCGUUGAUUUCACACUGCCGAGAAAAGCCUCUAGAUAGAAAAUAGGUGCCCGUACCGCAAACCGACACAGGUAGUCAAGAUGAGAAUUCUAAGGUGAGCGAGCGAACUCUCGUUAAGGAACUCGGCAAAAUGACCCCGUAACUUCGGGAGAAGGGGUGCUCUUUAGGGUUAACGCCCAGAAGAGCCGCAGUGAAUAGGCCCAAGCGACUGUUUAUCAAAAACACAGGUCUCUGCUAAACCGUAAGGUGAUGUAUAGGGGCUGACGCCUGCCCGGUGCUGGAAGGUUAAGAGGAGUGGUUAGCUUCUGCGAAGCUACGAAUCGAAGCCCCAGUAAACGGCGGCCGUAACUAUAACGGUCCUAAGGUAGCGAAAUUCCUUGUCGGGUAAGUUCCGACCCGCACGAAAGGCGUAACGAUUUGGGCACUGUCUCAACGAGAGACUCGGUGA
rnacentral:rRNA from 1 species